GACGAACGCYGGCGGCGUGCCUAAUACAUGCAAGUCGAACGCAUUUUCUUUCACCGUAGCUUGCUACACCGAAAGAAAAUGAGUGGCGAACGGGUGAGUAACACGUGGGUAACCUGCCCAUCAGCGGGGGAUAACACUUGGAAACAGGUGYUAAUACCGCAUAAUUCCAUUUACCGCAUGGUAGAUGGAUGAAAGGCGCUUKUGCGUCAMUGAUGGAUGGACCCGCGGUGCAUUAGYUAGUUGGUGGGGUAACGGCCUACCAAGGSUGSGAUGCAUAGCCGACCUGAGAGGGUGAUCGGCCACACUGGGACUGAGACACGGYCCAGACUCCUACGGGAGGCASCAGUAGGGAAUYUUCGGCAAUGGACGCAAGUCUGACCGAGCAACGCCGCGUGAGUGAAGAAGGUUUUCGGAUCGUAAAACUCUGUUGUUMGAGAAGAACAAGGAUGAGAGUSGAAAGUUCAUCCCUGACGGUAUCUAACCAGAAGACGWUWUYG
rnacentral:rRNA from 1 species